GCCCUGGUGGCGGAAUUGGCAUACGCGCACGUUUCAGGUACGUGUGGGAGCAAUCCCGUGUGGGUUCAAGUCCCACUCAGGGCACCA
rnacentral:tRNA from 1 species